rnacentral:rRNA from 1 species
UACGCAGGGUGCAAGCGUUAAUCGGAAUUACUGGGCGUAAAGCGUGCGCAGGCGGUUUUGUAAGUCUGUCGUGAAAUCCCCGGGCUUAACCUGGGAAUGGCGAUGGAGACUGCAAGGCUGGAGUUUGGCAGAGGGGGGUAGAAUUCCACGUGUAGCAGUGAAAUGCGUAGAGAUCAGGAGGAACACCUGUGGUGUAGACAGCUUACUGGACGAUAACUGACGCUGAGGCACGAAAGCGUGGGUAGCAAACAGG